AUGCGCAGAUNUCAGGAAGAACACCGGUGGCGAAGGCGGGUCUCUGGGCCGUUACUGACGCUGAGGAGCGAAAGCGUGGGGAGCGAACAGGAUUAGAUACCCUGGUAGUCCACGCCGUAAACGUUGGGCACUAGGUGUGGGGGGCCUUUUCCGGGUCUUCCGCGCCGUAGCUAACGCAUUAAGUGCCCCGCCUGGGGAGUACGGCCGCAAGGCUAAAACUCAAAGGAAUUGACGGGGGCCCGCACAAGCGGCGGAGCAUGCGGAUUAAUUCGAUGCAACGCGAAGAACCUUACCAAGGCUUGACAUGUGCCGGUCUGCUCCGGAGACGGGGUUUCCUCCUUUGUGGGGGCUGGUUCACAGGUGGUGCAUGGUUGUCGUCAGCUCGUGUCGUGAGAUGUUGGGUUAAGUCCCGCAACGAGCGCAACCCUUGUCUCGUGUUGCCAGCACGUUGUGGUGGGGACUCGCGGGAGACUGCCGGGGUCAACUCGGAGGAAGGUGGGGAUGACGUCAAAUCAUCAUGCCCCUUAUGUCUUGGGCUUCACGCAUGCUACAAUGGCCGGUACAGAGGGCUGCGAUACCGUGAGGUGGAGCGAAUCCCUUAAAGCCGGUCUCAGUUCGGAUCGGUGUCUGCAACUCGACACCGUGAAGUUGGAGUCGCUAGUAAUCGCAGAUCAGCAACGCUGCGGUGAAUACGUUCUCGGGCCUUGUACACACCGCCCGUCACGUCAUGAAAGUCGGCAACACCCGAAGCCCGUGGCCCUACGGG
rnacentral:rRNA from 1 species